GUGCAAUGCUGUCCACUGUUAUGAUGGACUCGCGUCUCGGUCGUUUGAUGGAUGCAUCGAAUGAUGGAGUGAUUUCUUCGAGCAGUUCCUUGAAGGAUCUCAGCUGGUUGCCAUAAAUCUAUAGAGGCCGUUUGUUGGCUGAAAAGCAACGAUGACAGCUAGGACUCUACAUUUCUACUAAAUUAUGGACAAAAACAUUUCACAGAAAAAUCUAACAAAUUUGACAGAAGAUCCCAUUGAAUUUCUAUUCUUUUCUUUUAGUUUCAACGGAGAAAUUCCUAUGCAUAUAUUUAUGGGAAUUUAUCCAAGUUCAUUUGCCAAUUUUUCAAAUGAAUCAAGAAAAAUGUGGUGAAAAAUGUUUCAAUAAAGGUAAUGGAAUUUUCAGUGACAAUUCAGGUUUCUGUAAAAUUAUUUCGCACGUUGUUUUCUACUUAUUGCUAGUAACAGUGUGGUAAUAAUAACCGUAGGAUAAAUUAAUAAACGUGAUGUAUUUUUUAGCAUAAAAAAGUUGUAAGUUGUUUUAAUAAAUAAUUAUAUCGUGA